ensembl:Mt_tRNA
GUUCUCAUAGUUGAAUAACAACGGUGGUUUUUCAAGUCAUUGGUCUCGGUUAAAAUCCGGGUGGGAAUU